rnacentral:rRNA from 1 species
CUGGCUCAGGAUGAACGCUGGCGGCGUGCCUAAUACAUGCAAGUCGAACGGAAAUUUAUCGCUGAAGUGGGUUACUCAAUUCUUGAUAAAUUUAGUGGCGGACGGGUGAGUAACGCGUGGGUAACCUGCCUUACACUGGGGGACAACAGUUGGAAACGACUGCUAAUACCGCAUAAGCGCACAGAAUCGCAUGAUUCAGUGUGAAAAACUCCGGUGGUGUAAGAUGGACCCGCGUCUGAUUAGCUAGUUGGUGAGGUAACGGCCCACCAAGGCGACGAUCAGUAGCCGGCCUGAGAGGGUGAACGGCCACAUUGGGACUGAGACACGGCCCAAACUCCUACGGGAGGCAGCAGUAGGGAAUAUUGCACAAUGGGGGAAACCCUGAUGCAGCAACGCCGCGUGAGUGAAGAAGUAUUUCGGUAUGUAAAGCUCUAUCAGCAGGGAAGAAAAUGACGGUACCUGACUAAGAAGCCCCGGCUAACUACGUGCCAGCCGCCGC